GCCCUGGUAGCAUAAUGGUUAAGCACUCAGCUGCUAACUGAGAGGUCUGUGGUUCAAAUUCACCAGUGGCU
rnacentral:tRNA from 1 species